ACAGUACUUUGGGACAGGAUCGUCCAUUAGCAUGGGCCUGGCAUCCAUCUUGGGCAACACUCAGACCUGCUGCUACCUUGGCCAAAGGGAAGUGGGUGAUUAAGCAAUGGUCCAGAGAACUUAAGGAAAAUAUGCUCCAGCACUCCUGAAGAAACGAAGUUCACAAAAUUCAGAAGUCUGUCCCUGCAGGGAAUUUUACUUAUAAUGGCCUUCAUUCGGAAGACCUAAUUCUGCUCUCCUUUAGUGUGCACAUGGAAGAGGGAUGGAAGUGCACAAA